rnacentral:rRNA from 1 species
GACGUAGGGGGCCAGCGUUGUUCGGAAUUACUGGGUGUAAAGGUUCGUAAGCGGUGCGGCAAGUUGGGAGUGAAAUCUCUGGGCUUAACCCAGAGGCUGCUUCCAAAACUGCUGUGCUUGAGUGUGGGAGAGGCGCGUGGAAUUGCAGGUGUAGCGGUGAAAUGCGCAGAUAUCGGGAGGAACACCAAUGGCGAAGGCAGCUUGCUGGGACGGUACUGACGCUGAGGCGCGAAAGCGUGGGGAGCAAACAGGG